GGGGGGGAAGGAAAAGGGAAAAGGAGGGGGGUAACAAGAGAAAAAAGAGACCCUACCAAUAGUAGUGGUUUAUUAUUCGGAAUAAAUUGAUAGAUAAAUUUAAAAGAGGAUCAAAGUUCAAACAGCCAUACGAUCCCAAUAAAAUAAUUCCGUCACCAGUUAGACCAAAGCAGACACCUUUUUUUUAUCCUAUGGGAGACCUCAUAAAACUAAGUGGCGGGAUUAACUGAGUUUUUGUGACCAGUCGGCAUGAUCGUUUCAAUUAGCUACCCCCACGGAUCAAUUUUAAUCUCAAUUUGAGGGAGAACCCACACAGUGCGCUGGAACAUUCAAAAAAAUUCCUUUAAAGGAGUGUCCCAACAAUUCACAAGUAAGUUCUAUAUGUUCAUUACAAAUUUUAAGUGCCGCGUUAGCUAGCUAACUGAGUAUAGCCAGAAUAUACCCAAUUAGAAGCUCCACACGUAAGUAAAAAACAUAUCAACAAGCCAAAGGGAAAAUCCAAUGUUAAAAGGGUGGAUUCCCUUCAUUCCCCGGACCCUCCUCUCCCUGUAAGGUAAGUGUCUGUUUUGUAAUUAAUAUUUUUCAUUUAGUCCCAUAGGAUCAAUAGUAUUUAAAAUUAUAAUCCAGUGUCUUUCUGUCUUAUGUUUCUGUGUUUUAGGCCAUCUCUGGUUGUUUUCUAGGCCACAGAUUGUCAUGUUAUCUAUGGUGUGGGUUUGGAAAUGGGUGUAUAGUACCGUAGCUCCAUCAUUCUUUCCUAUGUGGUAUAAAUUAUGUUUAAGUCUAACACCCAAGGCAUUCUUCAUUUCCCCAAUGUAUAAUUGAAGGCAUUGUUUACACCUAAUACCAUAGACAACAUUGGUUGCUGUGAGGUCCAUUCUUUGCCAUAUGGGUGCUCUCAGGCCUGAGAAGGUGUUCACAAGGCAAAUCAUAUUUAAAAUAUAUUUUGCAUUAUCCUCCCGUUUUGUUUAUUAAUUGGAUUGAGGGUGGAAUGGACCCCUAUUUCCUGCUGGGUCUGUUGGAAAUGAGAUUUGAGGCUGGGGAUAAGCCCCACUCCCAAGGAAGAGAAAGUUGACACAAAAGCUAUAAUUACUCAGUCAGUUUGGAAGACCUCUUCAAUUUCUGUUAUAAUGUCCCUAAAGAAGCGUCUGGAAUAACCCCUAGGUCUCAGAGCUUGUGUAUCUAUGAAUUCUAUCUUGUUGUACAUUGUGUAAUAAGCAGGGGCAAAGUUUUUGCCCAUGGCUCUACCCUGGAUCCGAAGGUAAUAUUUUUUUAUUUAAUUCAAAAUCAUUUAUGGUCAAACUAACCACUAGUAAACCCAGGAUAGCCCUGUCUGGUUGUUUAGGGUCUGGUGAAUUAUGGAAGGCCCUGGAGACUGCCUUUAGGCCCAACGCUGUCUCAAUAUUGGUGUACAAGGAAUUAAUAUCUACUGAGAACAAGAAGGCAUUUAUUGGAUUCAGAACAACAACCGCUGACAAUAGUGGAACCUGAAAGGGGACCGACCAUUUCUCCGGGUCCUUAAGGAUCUUGGGGAGCAAAUAGAAAUAUUUCCUCAGGGCCCAAAAGGUAAGUCAUUUGUUUAUCUGAGAUGAGUGUCAUGUAGCUGUACAAUUAGUUCUUGAAUAAUUUCCUGUCUCUAAUUGAAUAGAAUGAGAUAAUGGAGUACAAUGCUCAGUAUUGAAAUUCAACACUACUGUUGUUUGCUCCUUGGGGUUUAAGGCCGGGUGUCUCUGUAAAGCACAUUGUGACAACUGCUGUUGUAAAAAGGGCUUUAUAAAUACAUUUGAUUGGUUGGUAGGUUUGUUGGUUGAUUGAUUGUUCCAUUUUUUAUUAGCUUCCAUGAUGUAUUGCACUCGAUCCAUAAUAACAAUCUGAGAGCCCUUAACUGCUAGUUUGAUGACGAUGUUAGGGUUGUUACCCAGGCUACCGAUUGCCCUAAAUUGCUCCUUGGAGAGGUUGUUUUGUUGGUGGUCAUGGCCUAAGGUUAUUUAAGGCUUCUAGGUCCCUCUGUAUCAGAACCUGUAUGGGGCCUGAUACAGAGUCUAGGCUCCCACCUCGAGGGGUCUGUGAAAGGUACGUGAGGGAAAUCUGUGACAUAUUUAAAGCGGUCUUACAGGAUAACCAUCCAAUUAUAAACCUUUACAUCCCCAUAGAGCUCACUACGGCCUAGUAAGGCCCCUCUCCAUUUCAGAGAGAAUGGUGGAUUGGUAAUGUUGACUGAUUUUCUUACAAACUCUGACAUUGUACUCUGACAUUGUUCUCCCCUAACAUGUGUAAUUGGUCGAGCCAUCAUUUUGGGAUCUGAGAGGCAGUUCCAACCGACGAAUGAACUGGAUCCCACUUAAAAGCGAAGUUUGCUCAGUUCAUCAAGGGUUAGGUUGGAGUUUUUUGACCACUUCAUCCAGAUGGCGGAGAGAGGCCCCUGGGAAGCUGUCCACCUGUACCUGGGCAUCCAUAAAGGCAGGUUCCCGGCGUGUGGCAAUCGACCCAGUGGGCAGGUUUGUAAAAUUGUUUAAAGGGGACUAUGAUUGGGAUGCACUUAUGUGAUAACUUUUAUUUAAUAUGUAACCCAUCAUCACCUCACGUCCACCCGUUUUAACCAUUGUCCCUUCUGAGGGUUGGUUUGACACUGCCCGAGAACUCCUGGUCUCUGGUCCUGGAGGGGACAUCCAAGAAAUUGCGUUUCUACAGGGGAGUGCAACAUUCGAAAGAAGGCAGUACAGUUCUCCCCUAAUAAUGGAGCCUCAGUUAAUGUGAAAGGGACGUUUCGAUGCGGGAGUCAACGGAACCUAGAGGAUGGAAGACUGUCUAGGAGUGCAUGGAGGCAAUCCCAUCCGGGAAGAAAAUAAAAGCUCAACAUGAACAAGGGGAGGAACAGAAACAUUCCUUUAGAGGGAACCAGAUUUAAAACAAGGGCUAAGGCCAGGGACUAAGAGGGUCUAAGGAACCCUCACACCCCUCUCCUGGAGUGAGGGAUGAGUUCAAGUUAAAUGACUGGUUAGGUAGAAAUUGGGGUUGAUUUAGGUACCUAGGGAAGUGACCGGUUAGGGUUACGGGAGAGGGGGUUAGGCACAGGGAGAAGGUUAAGUUUAGGUUUAGGGGAAAGGUUAAGGUUAGGAUUUAAACUGGGGUAAUGGUUAGACGGCAGACUCCAGGGUAAAUUGGGAUUAACAGUGUAUGAGGAAUUGUGGUUUGUGGGCCCACUGGAUGUGAGACAGCGUUGGGUCUAGAUCUAGGCUUUGUUACUGCCUGAGCAUAUGAAAAGGGCCUAGGGGUCUUAGGCAGUGGUGGAAAUUCCAUUGGGUCCAAGGUCAGAGAUGUCUGCGUUGACGGCCUUUUAGAGGUUUGUAGCAUAGAUCUCAAAGUGUCAGCUGAGGUGUCAGUAAAAUAGACACUGGAUUCAGCCAAGAAAUGUAUUAAUUAUUUUAAUUGGACUCUUAUCUCACCCGGCACAGCCACAAGAGGUCUGGUCACCCCUCUGA